ensembl:lncRNA
CCUUCAGCAUUCCGAGUGCUUUACAGAAAUUAUUAACAAUUCCAUAAGGUAUUUUGACAAAGUUGUGUUUACAGAACCAUUGGUAUCCCAAGGCACUCCUGAUCAAAGAGCAAUAAGAUAUUUCAAAAUUGCUCCUGUGUUUGUGUUGCCAUGUGAACUUUUCCCUGAGAGGAAGUAUUAACGUGGAGACUCUGGCCCCAGAUUGGUAUCUUCUGUGAAAAUGGAUAUGGAUGAAUGACGCUCAAAAUGGCCUUCUCUUCAAAUAUGUGAGAGGUGGGCCAUAAAGAAGGUUGAGCGCCAAAAAAUUGUUGCUUUUGAACUGUGGUGCUCGAGAAGACUCUUGAGAGCCCCUUGGACAGAAGGAGAUCAAACCAGUCAACCCUAAAGGAAAUCAACCCUGAAUAUUCAUUGGAAGGACUGAUGCUGAAGCUGAAGCUCCAGUAAUUUGGCCACCUGAUGUGAAGAGUCAACUCAUUAGAAAAGACUCUGAUGCUGGGAUAGAUUGAGGGCAGGAGGAGAAGGUUGAAGAGGACAGAGGAUGAGAUGGUUGGAUGGCAUCAUCGACUCAAUGGACAUGAGUUUGAGCAAACUCUGGGAGAUGGUGAAGGACAGGGAUGCCUGGCAUGCUGCAGUCCAUGGAGUCACAAAGAGUCAGACAUGACUUAUCAACUGAACAACAAUAAGCUCCAAUCUAUUUAUCUUUUCAG